GAAUCUUUUGCCGAUGGGAAGUGUCUCGACAAUGUAUUCAUGCAGUGUUUCAUCCAAUGUGUUAUUGAUGAUGCAAAAAAUCAGCAGACUUCCAUGAGUUCGAACAGUUUGAUUCUUGAUGUUAAUGUUGGGUCACUACUCAACUUUGAGGAACAGGAACGACACAGUCGCAACCCUCAACCUUUUGAUGAAUCUGUACUCCACACACUUCUAGACAAUUCAUUGCCUGAGACAGAUGAAUUGGACCAAUGCAAAGCGAUCAUGGUCCCCAUGGUAAGCAGGGGGCAUUGGACAUUGUAUGUUGUCAA